rnacentral:rRNA from 1 species
AGGGAAAGCUGGCGGCAUGCUUUACACAUGCAAGUCGAACGGUAACAGGCCUUCGGGUGCUGACGAGUGGCGAACGGGUGAGUAAUGCAUCGGAACGUGCCCAGAGGUGGGGGAUAACGCAGCGAAAGCUGUGCUAAUACCGCAUGUGAUCUGAGGAUGAAAGCGGGGGACCAAGCAGCAAUGUUUGGCCUCGCGCCUCUGGAGCGGCCGAUGUCAGAUUAGGUAGUUGGUGGGGUAAAGGCCUACCAAGCCGACGAUCUGUAGCUGGUCUGAGAGGACGACCAGCCACACUGGGACUGAGACACGGCCCAGACUCCUACGGGAGGCAGCAGUGGGGAAUUUUGGACAAUGGGCGCAAGCCUGAUCCAGCAAUGCCGCGUGCGGGAAGAAGGCCUUCGGGUUGUAAACCGCUUUUGUACGGAACGAAAAGGCUCUGGCUAAUACCUGGGGCUGAUGACGGUACCGUAAGAAUAAGCACCGGCUAACUACGUG